rnacentral:rRNA from 1 species
UACGGAGGAUCCGAGCGUUAUCCGGAUUUAUUGGGUUUAAAGGGUGCGUAGGCGGGCUUUUAAGUCAGCGGUAAAAAUUCGGGGCUCAACCCCGUCGUGCCGUUGAAACUGAUGUUCUUGAGUGGGCGAGAAGUAUGCGGAAUUCGUGGUGUAGCGGUGAAAUGCUUAGAUAUCACGAAGAACUCCGAUUGCGAAGGCAGCUCACUGGACUGCAACUGACACUGAGGCUCGAAAGUGUGGGUAUCAAACAGG